rnacentral:rRNA from 1 species
CACGUAGGCGGCCUGUUAAGUCGGAUGUGAAAGCCCCGGGCUCAACUCGGGAAGUGCAUUCGAAACUGGCAGGCUUGAAUAUGGAAGAGGGUCGCGGAAUUCCCGGUGUAGAGGUGAAAUUCGUAGAUAUCGGGAGGAACACCAGUGGCGAAGGCGGCGACCUGGGCCAAUAUUGACGCUGAGGUGCGAAAGCGUGGGGAGCAAACA